rnacentral:rRNA from 1 species
UUAUUGGAGAGUUUGAUCCUGGCUCAGGACGAACGCUGGCGGCGUGCCUAAUACAUGCAAGUCGAGCGGACUUCUUUAAAGCUUGCUUUAGAGAAGUUAGCGGCGGACGGGUGAGUAACACGUGGGCAACCUGCCUUACAGACUGGGAUAACU